rnacentral:lncRNA from 1 species
AUGCAUGUGCCACACACCCACACUCGGGGUGUGCUCCUGCUGACCUUGGGUCAGGGUUUGAGGCCAGAAUGGCAAGGGCGGUGCAGACCCCAGGCUCUGCCUGCUCAGAACACAGCCUGCUUCAGGAAGUGCUGCAGGAGGCCGGCAGGUGUCAGGGGACACAGUCACACAGGGACCAGGCACCUCCAGAGGUCCCUCGAGGACUCGCGUCAAACCUGCCCAAGCAAGGCAGUCAUGAGCCAGAGAGAAGCUGGAGCCAGGAACAGCAGCGUUUACGGCCACCAAGAGCAGGAGUGGCUGCACCUUGUGGGCCCGUCCGCGCCGCAAACAACGCUGUGGGUGUCAUGUAUUGUGUCCCAGCAAUGAGGAAAGUGAUCAGGACGACUAGGAUCCCUCAGAGAUGAGUAUCACCACGGAUAUGAGGACCUUGUUGGUAAGCUCCUGUCCUUGAGCCCCCCUAGGAGAGUAUUAGUGAUCCCAAAACCCUGGGAAGGGGCUCAGGCUUCCAGAGAAAGCCUGACCCAUAAAUCAACUCAUAAGUGCCUGAGGCAGACAUGACCCAGCAACAGCUCAAAAGAUGAGGGCCAGA